AGUGUAGGUGGUUGUUCAAGUUGGAUGUGAAAGCCUUGAGCUCAACUCAAGAAAUGCAUUCAGGACUGAGCGACUAGAGGACCGGAGAGGAUAGUGGAAUUCCCAGUGUAGUGGUGAAAUACGUAGAGAUUGGGAAGAACACCAGUGGCGAAGGCGGCUAUCUGGACGGUUUCUGACACUAAGACUCGAAAGCGUGGGGAGCAAACA
rnacentral:rRNA from 1 species